rnacentral:lncRNA from 1 species
UACAAGGUUCAGGUUUAAGUACCACUUUCUCACUGAUUUAUGUCUAAUGCAUUAUAAUUCACUGACUGACAGGAUAAGCAACUAAAUUUGUUAAUUGGACAGUAAAAUACAUUUUUGUUCUUGUUUUUGUUCUUGUGAUUUUUUAGGCUAAUGUAAAAAAUACAUAAUAUGUUAAAAUUUACUACAUUAAAACAUUCAUGGAGAUUUAAAAUAUUAGACAUGGAAUCUCACAUAAUUUAUUCUUUAUUUUUGUGGCCAAACAAUUAUAAUUAAAGGGAUGUACUCAAUUGCAUGAGUUAAGGUUUAUAGUAAAUAUCAUUUCUAUAUGUAGCAUGUCAGUUCAUAUUUAAAAAAUGACCUGUGCACCCAUAUUCUCUUUUUAGCAAGAGGUGUUGUAAAUCACCAUAAAAACCCAACUGGCACUGCAUUAUUAUAUAUGAAUAAAUUCACUAUUUAUUUCAUGGGGUUUUUCAUCCCUUACCAAUUGUUUAAAUACCCCUUUCCCAUGGAAACAUGGAAAAAUCUGUGUUCUUUUACUAUCUUAGCUAUAAUCUUUAAAUUUACAUUUCUUAAAAAGUAAAUAUGGAAAUAACUUUACCUUUAUAUUUGAAUAAAUUGAAUGAGAUGAAAUGUUGCAUUCCCGUUGAUAUUUUUAUUUCAGUUAUUUCCCUCCCUCCAUUAAUCCCUGUUAUUAUGACAUUAGAAGAUAUCCCCACUUUUAAGAAGACAUUUAGGAUUUACUGAGUUGACCAAUGUUAAGUAACUUGGAGAAAUUGCUUAACUAUCAGGAAGUAAACUAUAUAUUUUUGUGUACAGUGGACUAAUCUGAACACCUUGAAUUGAAAGGAAAUAGGAAGCAGUAAGGGAAGAAGUUUGAGCCCUAAAAUAGAUAAUGAGAAGACAAGGAAAUCCACACAUAUGGAUCAACACAGGGCCAGUUUCAGGCAGUUUCAGGAGGUAAAAGGGGGUGGCAACUAGAUAUAAGCCAGUCAUCUUCCAAGAGCAGGACAAGAUCAAUGUAAUAGGUGGAGUUGGCACAAUUGUCUGUGGGACAUUACGGAGGAAAGUACAAUUGGCCUGCCCUGGGGACACUGAUUUAGCAAGAGUACGGAAGCUCACACCUUCCUUCGUCUGAAUGUAGUACAGAGUAUUUUUCUUUGCCUCCUACCUAAUAUAGACCCGGGGGACAUAGAAAGCGAAUGUGUCCAAAAGACUUGGGUAUAAAUGGGUUAGAAUGGAUCUUCCACUUGAAUGAUGUCUGGGGAGCUGUUACAGUCUGACAGUAGUACAGAAACAUAGAGGGGUCAGAAAUACUUCAAGGCCUUUGAACAUCUGUAUAAAAGACUUUUGCAGAAUUUUACUAGUAGAACAAGGAUACUAGCAUCCUCCUAAGAGAGAUUCCUAGGUCAUGCUGGGGCAGAAUAGGUAGGGAAGUUUGUAGAUGAGUAGAUGUUCCUGGUAGAGACAAUCUCAGGAUAUAAUAGGUACAGGUUCAACCCCUGGCCCAGCACAGUGGGUUAAAGAUCCAGCAUUGUUGUAGCUGUGACUUAGGUCACAGCUGAAGCUCAGAUUCAAUCCCUGGCCCAGGGACAUCCAUAUGCCAUAGGUGCAGCCAUAAAAAAAAAAAAAAAUAAUAAUAAAUAAAAUGAAGUCUGUACCUGGUCUACUAGAUGCUACAUGGGCUGACCCUUGCUCCUUGCUUGACCUUAUCACUUGUAACUUCCCUCCAGCUCUCUUCUUCAGUCACACUAGCCCUUUGUUCCAGGUGCUUGUUCAAUAGUCAUUUUUCAGAGAAGAUGACAACUCUUUCUAAAGUAGGGGACAAUUCCCUUCUGAUUACUCAACUUGCGUUAUUUCUCUUCACAGCACUUAACACUCCCGGGUAUUUUAUAUGGUGUCUGCUUACUCUCUUUUCCUCUGGUAAAUUUUAAGUUUUAUGGAAGCAAAAAGAAUUUUUCCUGUUUUAUUUACUGCCGUAUGCUAUAGGUGCUAAAAUAAUUGGUGAGUGAAAUUAGUGAAAUGAUGAAUAAAAUACUCAUUCCGCUUACCUAUUUUCCUUAUUUUCCUUAAUAAAAUAUAUUAGAUAUACUAAUUUGAAAAACAGUUGUCUCAGCAAGUAAGAUCUCUGUGUGUAAGUGUUGAUUUAAAACAGUCUGGGCCUAUAAGGAUGCAACUUGGUGGAAUUAGCCAAAUUGAUUACACGAUAUAGUCAUUCUUCUCUAUUCAACAGUUUUAGCAUGUUAAUAUUCCAACAAUUAGCUUAAAUCAAUUUUCUCUCAAUAAUUAUAAUAGUAUCUUCUGCAAGUUGACCAAAGCUUUGCACUAAAAAAAUAAUAGGAUUUUCUUACUUUGAUAUCUUAUUUUAGGUAGAUCAAAAAUAGCAUGUACAGAUUAUCAGAUGAUUAUUUUCAGGUAUCAUUAAAACACACAACUGAAAUUACUGUAUUGAAGCCCCUCACACCUACAUAGAGAAGUAAGAAGAAAAGGUAUUACCUACAUCCCUGUCAUCCAUGGUAAAUUACAGAGUUCAAGUAGAUGAAAAUUAUUCUAUCCAAAAUUAUAUUCUACAUGCCUACUGCUUGGAAAAUAUUUAACAAUAUCUUGUUCAGUGUAUAAAUGUUAUACCAGUCCUUUAAUCUAUGUUUUUAGAUAGAAAAACAUUUCUGUAUUAUCAAAGGUCACUUUAACUUAACAUAAUUUCUAAUGAUUAAAAAAUAUAUUUCAGAUUGAAUAAUAUAUCCAUCUUUGUGUUUUUUCCGCAAUGACUUGUUGGAAAGCCACUGCUUCAUAGAAUACUAUUCCACUUACUGAAGGGAAUAUGUAGAAUGAAUAUAUAAUAGUUCCUAAAAAACUGUGAAGAAAAAUUUAUCAUAGUCUGCCCAACUAUCAUGUCAUGAGGAGGAAGGAGGGAUAGAUAGUGAAAAUAUGUUUUAAUGGAAAUAUGUAAGGCUAUGUCAUUCACAUGCCCAUGUAGCAUAUACAGCAAUCAUCUUGAUCUAAUUAUUUUAGUUUAUAAUUUAAUAUAUGGUAAUAAAUUAUUGGAUUUUUUACUGGUAAUCUUUACUUAGCCUUUUUUUAGUGUAGUUGAAUGUCUCAAAAUAUAGUUUUAUGGGGUACACAUAUAUUGGACUUUUCAAUUAUUCUUUAUUUGGUCUCAGAUAAAACACAGUAUAGGCAACUGCACUGUUAGCAACUUCCUGUAGGAGACUUGAGAUCCUUUGGAUAAUGGCACCACUGUUAGCUGAAAUGAAUGCUUGCACAAUCUAAUCCUAAAACAUCCUCAGUGAAUGUGAAUAUGUCUACGUUGACAACAAGUAUUUCCUAGCAAAUUAUAAAACUAUUUUGGGAAGAAGGUGAUUUGACAAAAAUAAGCCUAUAUUUUUUGAGGUGUGUUAAAAUGUUUUACAUCUGAAAUGAAAUGUAUCUGUGUUUAAAUGAAACUUUCAGAUUUCCUGUUGUGGCGCAGUGGUUAACGGAACCAUGAGGUUGCAGGAUAGGUCUCUGGCCUUGCUUUGACCUGUGGUGUAGGUUGCAGAUGCAGCUCGGAUCCUGAGUUGCUGUGGCUCUGGUGUAGGCCGGUGGCUACAGCUCCGAUUGGACCCCUAGCCUGGGAACCUCCAUAUGCCACAGGAGUGGCCCAAGAAAUGG